rnacentral:rRNA from 1 species
UACAGAGGAGCCAAGCGUUGUCCGGAUUGACUGGGCGUAAAGCGCACGCAGGCGGUCUGGCGCGUGGGGUGUGAAAUCUGGCCGCUUAACGGCCAGGCGCCAUCCCAUACGGCCGGACUGGAGCCUUGCAGAGGUCGGUGGAAUUGCCGGUGUAGUGGUGAAAUGCGUAGAGAUCGGAAAGAACACCAACGGCGAAAGCACUCUGCUGGGCCGACACUGACACUGAGAGACGAAAGCUAGGGGAGCGAAUGGG